GGUUAAGCGACUAAGCGUACACGGUGGAUGCCUUGGCAGUCAGAGGCGAUGAAGGACGUGCUAAUCUGCGAUAAGCGUCGGUAAGGUGAUAUGAACCGUUAUAACCGGCGAUUUCCGAAUGGGGAAACCCAGUGUGUUUCGACACACUAUCAUUAACUGAAUCCAUAGGUUAAUGAGGCGAACCGGGGGAACUGAAACAUCUAAGUACCCCGAGGAAAAGAAAUCAACCGAGAUUCCCCCAGUAGCGGCGAGCGAACGGGGAGCAGCCCAGAGCCUGAAUCAGUGUGUGUGUUAGUGGAAGCGUCUGGAAAGGCGCGCGAUACAGGGUGACAGCCCCGUACACAAAAAUGCACAUGCUGUGAGCUCGAUGAGUAGGGCGGGACACGUGGUAUCCUGUCUGAAUAUGGGGGGACCAUCCUCCAAGGCUAAAUACUCCUGACUGACCGAUAGUGAACCAGUACCGUGAGGGAAAGGCGAAAAGAACCCCGGCGAGGGGAGUGAAAAAGAACCUGAAACCGUGUACGUACAAGCAGUGGGAGCACGCUUAGGCGUGUGACUGCGUACCUUUUGUAUAAUGGGUCAGCGACUUAUAUUCUGUAGCAAGGUUAACCGAAUAGGGGAGCCGAAGGGAAACCGAGUCUUAACUGGGCGUUAAGUUGCAGGGUAUAGACCCGAAACCCGGUGAUCUAGCCAUGGGCAGGUUGAAGGUUGGGUAACACUAACUGGAGGACCGAACCGACUAAUGUUGAAAAAUUAGCGGAUGACUUGUGGCUGGGGGUGAAAGGCCAAUCAAACCGGGAGAUAGCUGGUUCUCCCCGAAAGCUAUUUAGGUAGCGCCUCGUGAAUUCAUCUCCGGGGGUAGAGCACUGUUUCGGCAAGGGGGUCAUCCCGACUUACCAACCCGAUGCAAACUGCGAAUACCGGAGAAUGUUAUCACGGGAGACACACGGCGGGUGCUAACGUCCGUCGUGAAGAGGGAAACAACCCAGACCGCCAGCUAAGGUCCCAAAGUCAUGGUUAAGUGGGAAACGAUGUGGGAAGGCCCAGACAGCCAGGAUGUUGGCUUAGAAGCAGCCAUCAUUUAAAGAAAGCGUAAUAGCUCACUGGUCGAGUCGGCCUGCGCGGAAGAUGUAACGGGGCUAAACCAUGCACCGAAGCUGCGGCAGCGACACUAUGUGUUGUUGGGUAGGGGAGCGUUCUGUAAGCCUGUGAAGGUGUACUGUGAGG
rnacentral:rRNA from 1 species